rnacentral:rRNA from 1 species
UGGAUCCAGACUUUGAUCAUGGCUCAGGAUGAACGCUAGCUACAGGCUUAACACAUGCAAGUCGAGGGGAAACGAUAGAGAAAGCUUGCUUUUUCUAGGCGUCGACCGGCGCACGGGUGAGUAACGCGUAUCCAACCUGCCCACCACUUGGGAAUAACCUUGCGAAAGUAAGACUAAUACCCAAUGAUAUCUCUAGAAGACAUCUGAAGGAGAUUAAAGAUUUAUCGGUGAUGGAUGGGGAUGCGUCUGAUUAGCUUGUUGGCGGGGUAACGGCCCACCAAGGCUACGAUCAGUAGGGGUUCUGAGAGGAAGGUCCCCCACAUUGGAACUGAGACACGGUCCAAACUCCUACGGGAGGCAGCAGUGAGGAAUAUUGGUCAAUGGGCGAGAGCCUGAACCAGCCAAGUAGCGUGCAGGAUGACGGCCCUAUGGGUUGUAAACUGCUUUUAUAAGGGAAUAAAGUGAGCCUCGUGAGGCUUUUUGCAUGUACCUUAUGAAUAAGGACCGGCUAAUUCCGUGCCAGCAGCCGCGGUAAUACGGAAGGUCCGGGCGUUAUCCGGAUUUAUUGGGUUUAAAGGGAGCGUAGGCCGGAGAUUAAGCGUGUUGUGAAAUGUAGAUGCUCAACAUCUGCACUGCAGCGCGAACUGGUUUCCUUGAGUACGCACAAAGUGGGCGGAAUUCGUGGUGUAGCGGUGGAAUGCUUAGAUAUCACGAAGAACUCCGAUUGCGAAGGCAGCUCACUGGAGCGCAACUGACGCUGAAGCUCGAAAGUGCGGGUAUCGAACAGGAUUAGAUACCCUGGUAGUCCGCACGGUAAACGAUGGAUGCCCGCUGUUGGUCUGAAUAGGUCAGCGGCCAAGCGAAAGCAUUAAGCAUCCCACCUGGGGAGUACGCCGGCAACGGUGCAACUCAAAUGAAUUGACGGA